UAAACACAGGGACACAUUUGAAGUCUCGGAGCCGGGUGUUGGUUCCGGUAGUGAUCGAGGGAAAUUAGUACCGAAGUCCGGGAUGGAAGAUGGCGAGAAAAGCUGUGUGUAUUUCUGCGGUGCCCGUACCGCAAACCGACACAGGUAGGUAGGAAGAAGAUUCUAAGGCCAACGGGAGAAGGGUUGUUAAGGAACUCGGCAAAUUGACCCCGUAACUUCGGGAGAAGGGGUGCUCCAGAGAUGGAGCCGCAGAGAAUCGGCCCAAGCAACUGUUUACCAAAAACACAGGUUUGUGCUAAAUCGAAAGAUGACGUAUACGAGCUGACGCCUGCCCGGUGCUGGAAGGUUAAGAGGAGAUGUGCAAGCAUUGAAUCGAAGCCCCAGUGAACGGCGGCCGUAACGAUAACGGUCCUAAGGUAGCGAAAUUCCUUGUCAGGUAAGUUCUGACCCGCAUGAAAGGCGUAAUGAUUUGGGCACUGUCUCGACAGCCCGCCCGGCGAAAUUGUAGUACCGGUGAAGAUGCCGGUUACCCGCGACAAGACGGAAAGACCCCAUGGAGCUUUACUGUAGCCUAAUAUUGGGUUUCGAUGUUGCAUGCACAGGAUAGAUGGGACACUAGGAAGCAAGUGCUUUGGCAUUUGUGGAGUGGCCGUUGGGAUACCAUCCUUGCGAUAUUGGAAUUCUAACCUGCGCCUUUGAAUCAAGGCGGGGGACAUUGUUAGGUGGGCAGUUUGACUGGGGCGGUCGCCUCCUAAAGAGUAACGGAGGCGUUCAAAGGUUCGCUCAGCUUGAACGGAAAUCAAGCAAAAGAGUGCAAACGCAGAAGCGAGCCUAACUGCGAGACUGACGGGUCGAGCAGUAACGAAAGUUGGAGUUAGUGAUCCGGUGGUAUGUGAGUGGAAAUGCCAUCGCUCAACGGAUAAAAGUUACCCUGGGGAUAACAGGCUGAUCUCCCCCAAGAGUCCACAUCGACGGGGAGGUUUGGCACCUUGAUGUCGGCUCAUCGCAUCCUGGGGCUGUAUUCGGUCCCAAGGGUUUGGCUGUUCGCCAAUUAAAGCGGUACGCGAGCUGGGUUCAGAACGUCGUGAGACAGUUCGGUCCCUAUCUGUCGUGGGCGCAGGAUAUUUGAUGGGAGCUGUUCCUAGUACGAGAGGACCGGAGCGGACGUACCUCUGGCGCACCAGUUGUUCUGCCAAGGGCAUAGCUGGGCAACUAUGUACGGAUCGGAUAAACGCUGAAAGCAUCUAAGCGUGAAGCCGACCCAAAGAUAAGAUAUCCCAUUGUUUCAAACAAGUAAGACCCCUUGAAGACUACAAGGUUGAUAGGCAUGAUGUGUAAGUGGAGUGAUCCAUUCAGCAAGCAUGUACUAAUAGGUCGAGGGCUUGACCAA
rnacentral:rRNA from 1 species